UACGGAGGUUCCAAGCGUUGUUCGGAAUUACUGGGCGUAAAGGGCGCGUAGGCGGUGCGGUAAGUUAGGCGUGAAAGGCCCGGGCUCAACCCGGGAAUUGCGCUUAAGACUGCCGCGCUGUGAGUCCGGGAGAGGAUGGCGGAAUUCCCAGUGUAGAGGUGAAAUUCGUAGAUAUUGGGAAGAACACCAGUGGCGAAGGCGGCCAUCUGGCCCGGUACUGACGCUGAGGCGCGAAAGCGUGGGGAGCAAACAGG
rnacentral:rRNA from 1 species